ACUGCUUCUCGGCCUUUUGGCUAAGAUCAAGUGUAGUAUAUUGUACUUCUGUUCGUCAUAUAAUUUGUCCUUUAUUAUAUCUGAUUCAUAGGUGUUUUAUACAUAAUUUAUACUUCAAUGUAGCAAAGUUGACAUCUU
rnacentral:snRNA from 1 species